GAUGAACGCUAGCUACAGGCUUAACAGAUGCAAGUCGAGGGGAAACGACAUCGAAAGCUUGCUUUUGAUGGGCGUCGACCGGCGCACGGGUGAGUAACGCGUAUCCAACCUGCCCAUCACUUGGGAAUAACCUUGCGGAAGUAAGACUAAUACCCAAUGAUAUCCCACGAAGGCAUCGGAAUGGGAUUAAAGAUUUAUCGGUGAUGGAUGGGGAUGCGUCUGAUUAGCUUGUUGGCGGGGUAACGGCCCACCAAGGCAACGAUCAGUAGGGGUUCUGAGAGGAAGGUCCCCCACAUUGGAACUGAGACACGGUCCAAACUCCUACGGGAGGCAGCAGUGAGGAAUAUUGGUCAAUGGGCGAGAGCCUGAACCAGCCAAGUAGCGUGCAGGAAGACGGCCCUAUGGGUUGUAAACUGCUUUUAUAAGGGAAUAAAGUGGGUCACGUGUGACUUUUUGCAUGUACCUUAUGAAUAAGGACCGGCUAAUUCCGUG
rnacentral:rRNA from 1 species